rnacentral:lncRNA from 1 species
CACCCCUUACGUGGGGCUGCGGCGGCCCCUGGGCUACCAGCUGGCCAAGGCUACCAAGGAGCGGAUCUGGCGGGGGGAGUUCAUUGACCUCUUCUCCUUGCUCCACACAGAGCUGGCCCCCGAGCACGGCCCGCGCCCGGGGGACACGCUGGACCAGUGGGUCUCUGCCUUUCUGGUGUACGCCAGCGUGCUGUGCGAGAAGCACCCAGCCCGCUGCGGGGCCAUGUUCAAGUAUCUGGACACCAUCCGCAAGCUGCAUGCCACGUAUGGGGGCACCUCGUGGAUGAGCUACGACGAGGACUUCCGGCGGCGGGCGGCCAAGGACCCGACCCUGCCUUGGGGCGACGUGGACCUGGACCUGUGGAUGAAGUGGAUGGCUCCCCUCAAGUCGCUUGUCAGCAGGCAUCAGCAUGCUGAGAGCGAGCCGCAGGCCCCCCCGCCGCCGCCACCUCCACAGCUGCCCCCGAGCCCCAAGCAGGAGGAGAAAAGCCAGACCCCAUGAAAACAGAAGGCCAGUUGGAAGGGCAGUCAGACUAAGUGGGUAUUUUGAAAGUUUCUGAAGAACUUGUUUUUGAUCCUUGGUAUUCCCAGCUAUGUACAAGAUAUAAAUGUCUACUGCUUUCAGUAGCCAAAGCUAUUCUGCUUAACAGCUCGGUAUACAUGAUCCAAAGAAGUUUGGACACUAUGCUAAUUGACUGAUAUAAACAAUUGACUUCAAUAAAUAAAUUAAGUAGAAAUAUAACA